AGCAGCAGCGAAGACUGUUUUUUGCCCAUUCCUCAAGUUUCCUUGGGGUUCCAUGGAAUUGCCAGGGGACUUCAAAGCAAGCCCUGGUCUACUGGGACGAGGGCCAGCUUUUGGCUCUGGUCUGGCUGUGGAAAAUCCCAGAGUAGAUCUAGGAAUAUCCUGGGUUUGGGACGGGUGUUGAGAUCAUCACCAUCAUCAUCCUUCUGUGUAGACCCUGCCCUUCAGUGUUGUUCCCUUCUCACUGAGGACUCUUGGGAAGGCCUUCAUCGUGUUAAUGCUGGCCUCACCGACUUCAGACCCGGGAGGGACCCCAGCCAAGAACUUAGAAGUGUAGAAGAAAAAGCUAUUUUUCCCCCUCCCAUCAACAAAGUGAUCUGCAUGUCACUCCCCUGCCAGGAAAGAAAAAAGAAAAAAGAGAAGAGAAGAAAAAAGAAAAGCCUAACAAACACGAAAAAAAAAAAAAAAGCCAGAGCAACUGGAAUCUCAGUUUUGAGGAAACACAUGGGAUUGAAGCAUCCGCCGUAACUCUGUAACCAACUGUCACAUGUGACUCCCCCC
rnacentral:lncRNA from 1 species